rnacentral:lncRNA from 1 species
CCAGAGCUAUCACCGGGCCUCAUGGGAGAUGUGACUACAGCAUCGGACAUGGGACUGUUUGUUCACUCACUUUCUGUGAAGAGAGUUUUGAACUGUGUUUUGAAUAGACAGCAUUUUCUUUGUGUGGUUGGUAAAUAACACAGAGCAAAGUUAGUCAGCAAGUUGCAUAGCUUCUGCAUUCUGAUUCUUUGGAGCCCUUUUGUACCAAGCUUGACAGGAUGUUUUUAACAGAAUGUGACCUCACUGGAAUACCAGAGGUAAGGAAAAAAGUUAUUGGGGCUGUUGUGGAAUAUUUUGCACAGAGCUGGACGAAAGUACUGCUUUAAAAUGCCUUUUGGAAAGAAGACAGUCUCAUGGUGAACCAGUCAACACCUUGUUUAGUGAAAAUCAAUGUCUUUCAGUCCUUUAAAUUAUAGGAAGUUUUAAUGAGAUUUUCAAUUUCCCACACGUGGAAAAAGAGGCUGAUUUGCAAAUCUUAGAACGAUUAUGUACUUGCUCAUUGAGCAAAGGCCCAGUUCUAGAGACAGAUCAUCAAAAUGUUUUCUUUCUAACACAGCAGACAAUAAGCAGAUCAGAUCCAGUUGUUCAUCCAAGUCCUAGGAGCAGCAGCGUGAGUAUCGGAGCGGUGGCAAACCCAGCAAGACCGGGCAACCUUGCGGACAGCCAUCCUCAGUCCCCGGCUGAAGUGCACCAUGAUAGUUGCUCAGAGGAGCUGAUGCUGACAGAUGCACAAACACAAGAAAAUAUUCUGUAUUUACAAUGGCAUAUAGAAAAUAUAUAAGUGGUAAGUGGUUUCCAAUAUGUGGCUGAGAUGUGCUUGUACUUUGGAAGUACUUCAUUGUACGUACUGAAAGCAAGAUCUUUCAGGAGUAUCAGAUUCUGGCAUGAUAUUUG